AAACCAGCACCUCAAGUGGUCAGGAUGAUUAUUGGGCCUAAAGCAUCCGUAGCCGGCUCUGUAAGUUUUCGGUUAAAUCUGUACGCUCAACGUACAGGCUGCCGGGAAUACUGCAGAGCUAGGGAGUGGGAGAGGUAGACGGUACUCGGGAGGAAGUGGUAAAAUGCUUUGAUCUCUCGAUGACCACCUGUGGCGAAGGCGGUCUACCAGAACACGUCCGACGGUGAGGGAUGAAAGCUGGGGGAGCAAACCGGAUUAGAAACCCGAGUAGUCC
rnacentral:rRNA from 1 species